rnacentral:rRNA from 1 species
UACGAAGGGGGCUAGCGUUGCUCGGAAUCACUGGGCGUAAAGGGUGCGUAGGCGGGGCUUUAAGUCAGGGGUGAAAUCCUGGAGCUCAACUCCAGAACUGCCUUUGGUACUGAAGAUCUUGAGUUCGGGAGAGGUGAGUGGAACUGCGAGUGUAGAGGUGAAAUUCGUAGAUAUUCGCAAGAACACCAGUGGCGAAGGCGGCUCACUGGCCCGAUACUGACGCUGAGGCACGAAAGCGUGGGGAGCAAACAGG